CGAUUUGGGAGACAAGUGGGCACAGUGACACCAGUCCCCGAAUAAAUUGCUGCACUGCUUUUUCUAUGAAAACAUGCUCAUGGAGAGGAAAGCUGUUAUGGCAAAGCAAUAUAUUAUAAACCCAGAUGCCAGCAGGCCCUCAGAUGACAAUGUCGCUGAGUCCUGUGGAGCUGGCGAGGAAGGAUUUCUGCGUUCAGAACGGCAGCAAGCAUAUUCUAACCAAGCCUCAGAGCUCAGGCCCAGAGGAAAUAAUCCAAAGUGAUGUCAAUUGGCUGUGAGCCAACGUGUGACCGAAGCCCAUGCACACUCAGAGACGACACAGACUUAGAUCCAUAUGAG
rnacentral:lncRNA from 1 species